CGUUUGGAAAAAGAAGCUAACGCCUAAUGAGCUGAAAUACACAAAAAGAAGAGAUAUAGACCUACGCAUAAAGCUAGAGCAGCUGAAGGAGGCAGUGCCGUUUUCAAGGACCCCCCCCCCCCAUCGUUUCUAUCUCCUUCAACAGAAUCCUUCCGCCGUUCUUCAACCAAACACAAACGACCCCCCUGAUCGUCUUCUUCAUUGGAAAAAUAUACACACAAGGAAGAAGCCACUACACCCAAACAAACACAUCAGUUCUGCUUCUUCUUCAACCAUAUACGCAGAUACAGUUGAGGGGAAACGGAGGAGGGAACGGAGAAGGGAACCGGACAGAGGGUGACGGAAAGUGAACGAAAUCGAGGGGAAGGGUUCUUCGAGUAUGGGAAUGGAGUUAAAUCGAGGUUGAUUCGAGUUCGUCGCCGGUGAAGUUCUCCGUGCCCGGUCCGGCUUGUUCGAGCUCUCUCGUCAAGCUUGUAUCUUUGUAUUCAUCUCCAUGUAUAUAAAAGUUUUCUCAUACAGGUGUGGAUUUACUUAUCGGAGUUCGAGCAUGACAUACACCCCAGGAUCACUGCAUUCAGGAGCUGCUCGAGGAGCCAUUUUAUGUUUUUGAGUCAAUUGUUCAUGUUUUACUUUUUAGUCUUGUAUAGUGGCAUUCAGUCUUUUAGGUGAUAUCAGAGUUUGUAAUAGUCUAGUUGAGUUUGCCUAGUCUUUUGUUAUUGUAUUUCUUAUUUGUAUUUGGAGAUGUGUUACAAGUCAAAAAAUCCAAAAAAAAAGGAGAAAUUUUACGCUUUUAUAUUUUCGUUAUAGAUUUUCUUUAGAAUGCUAAUUCUAGAAAUGAAAAAAAAAUUCCUUUGA